rnacentral:rRNA from 1 species
GUAUCAAUAAGCGGAGGAAAAGAAACCAACAGGGAUUGCCUCAGUAACGGCGAGUGAAGCGGCAACAGCUCAAAUUUGAAAUCUGGACCUUCGGCUUCCGAAUUGUAAUUUGAAGAGGAUGCUUCGGUUGUGGCCCUGGCCUAAGUUCCUUGGAACAGGACGUCGUAGAGGGUGAGAAUCCCGUUCGCGGCUUCAGGCUUACUUCCAUGUGAAGCUCCUUCGAAGAGUCGAGUUGUUUGGGAAUGCAGCUCAAAAUGGGUGGUAAAUUUCAUCUAAAGCUAAAUACUGGACGAGAGACCGAUAGCGCACAAGUA